CGCAGGCGCAUUCUCGACUGGUAGCUGCGGCCUUUGUUUGGCGGUUCAACGGAGGCCACCUAGACUCUAUAGGAAAAUUUGACUUUCACUUCAACUGGAGAGAACCCUUCUGGCCUGUUUAAUGUUCCUAUUAACCAGCUGCCCGACCAGAAAUGAGUCUAGACUGGCUCAGCCAAGGACACUCAAUCAGGAACAAGGACCCAAGAGGAGCUGGGGCAAGUGGAAUCUUCCCAGUGGAUCCUGUACCACACUAUGAUGCUGCAGACCUUUGGUCCUCCCUGACCCUGAUGGUUUGCUCACAUUGUAAACUUUAGUUCUUCUGAAUUAAAAAUGGGUGUGGUGCUU